GCCGCUGUGGUGGAAUAGGCAGACACAAGGGACUUAAAAUCCCUCGGAGUAAAAUCCGUACCGGUUCGACCCCGGUCAGCGGCA
rnacentral:tRNA from 3 species